UCAAGCGCAAGCUUGGUGUUGGGGAUCGCCCCUGAGAUACGGCGGCGGCCCUUAAAUGCAUCGGCGGUGCUGGUCCCAGCCCGGAGCGCAGCAGACAUGCGGCUUCCUGGCGGCCCAGCGCCCGCCGGCCAACCACGUAACUACCAAACGUCGACCUCGAAUCAGGUAGGGAUACCCGCUGAACUUAAGCAUAUCAAUAAGCGGAGGAAAAGAAACCAACAGGGAUUGCCUCAGUAACGGCGAGUGAAGCGGCAACAGCUCAAAUUUGAAAUCUGGCGUCUUCGGCGCCCGAGUUGUAAUUUGCAGAGGAUGCUUCGGCGUAGGCGCCGCCCAAAGUUCCUUGGAACGGGACGUCGCAGAGGGUGAGAGCCCCGUGUUCGGGCGGAUGCCUUCGCCGUGUGAAGCUCCUUCGACGAGUCGAGUUGUUUGGGAAUGCAGCUCAAAACGGGAGGUAAAUUUCUUCCAAAGCUAAAUACCGGCCGGAGACCGAUAGUGCACAAGUAGAGUGAUCGAAAGAUGAAAAGCACUUUGGAAAGAGAGUCAAACAGCGCGUGAAAUUGUUAAAAGGGAAGCGCUUGCGGUCAGAACUUGGCCGCCGUUGCUCGGGGAGGUCUCGCGCCUCCCUCGCUCUUCGGCGGCUGGGCCAGCAUCGGUUCGGGCGGCUCGAGAAAGGUCGCGGGAACGUGGCUCCCUCCGGGGAGUGUUAUAGCCCGCGGCGCAAUAGGGCCCGCCUGGACCGAGGUCUGCGC
rnacentral:rRNA from 1 species